rnacentral:rRNA from 1 species
AGAACGAACGCUGGCGGCAGGCCUAACACAUGCAAGUCGAGCGCUGUAGCAAUACAGAGCGGCGCACGGGUGAGUAACACGUGGGAACGUGCCCUUUGGUUCGGAAUAACUCAGGGAAACUUGAGCUAAUACCGGAUGAGCCCUAACGGGGAAAGAUUUAUCGCCGAAGGAGCGGCCCGCGUUGGAUUAGCUAGUUGGUGGGGUAAAAGCCUACCAAGGCGACGAUCCAUAGCUGGUUUGAGAGAACGACCAGCCACACUGGGACUGAGACACGGCCCAGACUCCUACGGGAGGCAGCAGUGGGGAAUCUUGGACAAUGGGGGAAACCCUGAUCCAGCCAUGCCGCGUGAGUGAUGAAGGCCCUAGGGUUGUAAAACUCUUUCGGCGGGGACGAUAAUGACGGUACCCGCAGAAGAAGCUCCGGCUAACUCGUGCCAGCAGCCGC